GAACCCUUGGCACAGUGGUAGCGCGUGAGAUUCCAGAUUUGGAAGUCCUCAAGGUCGUCCGUUCAAUCCGGGCAGGGUUCA
rnacentral:tRNA from 1 species